rnacentral:rRNA from 1 species
GGGACACGUUUUAUCCUGUCUGAAUAUGGGGGGACCAUCCUCCAAGGCUAAAUACUCAUGAAUGACCGAUAGUGAACCAGUACCGUGAGGGAAAGGCGAAAAGAACCCCGGCGAGGGGAGUGAAAAAGAACCUGAAAACGUGUACGUACAAGCAGUAGGAGCCUCUUAAUGGGGUGACUGCGUAACUUUUGUAUAAUGUGUAAGCGACUUAUAUUCUGUAGCAAGGUUAACCGUAUA